CAUGCAAGUCGAGCGAGAAANGNNNNUCACGAGNCCCGAGUAAAGCGGCGAAAGGGUGAGUAAUACAUGGAUAACCUACCNNGAGAGGGGGACAACACCGGGAAACUGGUGCUAAUACCCCAUGAGACCACGGGUUCACGGACCUGUGGUCAAAGAUGGCCUCUAUUUAUAAGCUUUCGCUCAGGGAGGGGUUCAUGGCCUAUUAGCUUGUUGGUGGGGUAACGGCCUACCAAGGCUUUGAUGGGUAGCCGGGCUGAGAGGUUGUUCGGCCACACUGGGACUGAGACACUGCCCAGACUCCUCCGGGAGGCUGCAGUCGAGAAUCUUUCGCAAUGCGCGCAAGCGUGACGGAGUGACGCCGCGUGGACGAUGAAGGCCUUCGGGUUGUAAAGUCCAAUCGCAGGGGAAGAACGGUGGGAGGGAAACACUCUGCCCAUUAGACGUUACCCUGGUCGAAGCGCCGGCUAAACACGUGCCAGCAGCCGCGGUAAUACGUGUGGCGCAAGCGUUGUUCGGAAUCACUGGGCAUAAAGAGCGCGUAGGCGGUGUCGUAAGUCGGGUGUGAAAGCCCUCGGCUCAACCGAGGAAUGGCAUCCGAAACUGCGGCGCUAGAGUACGGUAGGGGGGAGUGGAAUUCCUGGUGGAGCGGUGAAAUGCGUAGAUAUCAGGAGGAACGCCGGUGGCGAAGGCGACUCUCUGGCCCGUUACUGACGCUGAGUGUGCGAAAGCUAGGGGAGCAAACAGGAUUAGAUACCCUGGUAGUCCUAGCUGUAAACGAUGGGCACUAGGUAGUGGGGGUUACCGACAUUCUCACUGCUGUAGCAAAUGUAUUAAGUGCCCCGCCUGGGGAGUAUGCUCGCAAGGGUGAAACUCAAAUGAAUUGAC
rnacentral:rRNA from 1 species